CAUUAUUCUUCAGUCCCCGUUCUCGUUUUGGAUUGUAUGAAAUACGUAUACAUAUAAGUAUACAUAGUUCGACAUAUAUGGUCUUCAGGUAGAGUACAUGUUCAAAAAUUUAAUCACACCAUGACUUGUGAGUGUUACUUCGAGAAAAUGUUCUUGCCAAAUGUUUACCCCUUCCAUGAUUGACGAAAUGCUUAUACUCGAAACAUUAGUAUCUGUAAAUGUCAACAUAAUGUAACAGUUCACUGGCUUAUAUACAGGAUCACCAAUCCGUAGUCUCGCGAUCGUAAAUGAGACCAAGUCAAAGAAUAUAGUAGUUCAAGCCGUUUCUAACUUACACGACUCCGGAUUUUGUCCAAUUUCUUCUCCUGCGCGAAAUCUGUUUCAAAUCUUUACGCCUUUUACCAUAAUUUCGGAACCAACCGUAAUAUAUGACAAUAUGUCACGCAUUAUGCUAUAGGUACGAAUGUAUAUGUUGACGCAUCAUAGGUCGUAGAUGCGAUCGAAGUAUACAGGAACAAUUCGUAAAACAGGAAUAAUUUCAACAAUUAAAACAGGUCGAGAUGAUAGUGCAGGUAUUUCUUGUGCCUAUACGUAUUGUUUCGCUUUCACAAAUCAUCGGUUUUUCCCGAAGAUCAACUGUAAUUAGAAAGGUCGUAGGUUCGAGUCCCGCCGUGGCCAGGCAUAUUUUUCAAGCCUGCCCGGUGUGGAUAUACACUCAGAGUAACAUCACACAAACAUCUUAUUCACCUGAGUACAUUACACCAACACAGCAGAUUUCAUAAAUAUUAGAUUACACUGAU